rnacentral:rRNA from 1 species
UACGUAGGGUGCAAGCGUUGUCCGGAAUUAUUGGGCGUAAAGAGCUCGUAGGCGGUCUGUCGCGUCUGCUGUGAAAACUCGGGGCUUAACCCCGGGCCUGCAGUGGGUACGGGCAGACUAGAGUGCGGUAGGGGAGACUGGAAUUCCUGGUGUAGCGGUGAAAUGCGCAGAUAUCAGGAGGAACACCGGUGGCGAAGGCGGGUCUCUGGGCCGAUACUGACGCUGAGACACGAAAGCGUGGGGAGCAAACAGG